UAGGGGACACAUGGGGGAGAUGGCCGAGUUAGAUGGGACUCGGGGGGUGGGGGGUGCCAGGAGAAGGAAGGUUGAAGGGGAGACUAGAUGUUGGGGGAACUGUGCUGGGAAGAGGUGCGUCGGAAGUGCCCACAGUAACCCGCAGUAACCCAGGGGUCGGACAACACCCCAGGCCUGGCUGUCGCAGCUGCCUGCUGGAGAAGGGGAGCCUGACCUCUAGGAGGGCACCGCUCCUGUGUAGGCUGAGCGGCCCCCAGUCCCCUGGUUUGUAUGGAAGGAGGAAGGCAGAGAGACAGGAGGAGGAGGCUGAUGGUCUCGCGGCCCUUGCUGGAGACACACUUGGGCAGUUGACGCCCUGAAAAUGAGCAGGAAGGAUGGCAGUGGGGUACAGGGACGCAGAUGGGCAGGGAGGGCAGAACCUGAACUUGUCAAUACCAGCAGCCCCCUUUUUUUCCAGAGGGUUGUGAACCCGCCUGGGGAUGAGGCCUGGUGUUGUGGAAACUGAACUUAGCUUCGCGGGGCUGACAGUUCUGGCCCAGGGCGGUGGCAGUGCACCCCUUUGGACUUUUCCUCUAGGUCCCAUGCUUACCUCUUCUGUGACCUAACUCUGCCCCUCCUCCUCCCUCUAACUCUCUCGAGGUUACCCCUUCACUUAAAACAUUGCUUCUGGUAAUCUGGUAAGCCGGGAAAGUUGCUGGGGUCCCUGCCGGAGUCGGUAUUGUUGGUAAUCCCGAAGGAGGAGAGGCAUCCCCAGCGGAGACUCUGGGUGGGCAGGUUGGUCUUGCUUGCUGGUGGAGAGGGUGGGGAUUGAAGGUGCACCCUUGGGUGGGCCCACAGCGAUGGUACCAGCUGAAAGCUACAAAAAUGCUUCGUAGACCGUGGUUUGUUACUAUAGUGUUCAUCAUGGCAAGCUGGUGGCACCAGGAGAAAUGGAGCCCCUGGCCAGUGUGAGUCAUAGCAGUGCAGGAGAGGAGACCCUGGAGGAGGAGAGAGCCCGCCUAAAUUGGUGUCUACAGAUUGAAUUUCCAGAGGCUUAGGAGGAGGAGUUCUCCAAUGUCCUGUUUCCAGGCCUUGCUCAGGAAGCCCUGUAUUCAUUCAGGAGCCCAUCCUUUAAGGUUUUCAGAUGAGCUUAUGAGGGGGCAAUCUUUAAAAGUCCAAAGCAGAUGCAUCCGGGGCCUUCAGCAGAUGUGUUGCUUUGAGUGUGUAAUCCGGGAGCAGUGAUCUCUGGGCACGUGAAUGCCAGCAGGCACCUCUCCUGUUCUGGGGUGGAGGUUUUCAGAUGCUGCAUCUUCUAAAUUCAGUCUCCUGUUGUACUAGUUCUGUGCUACGAACCUUGCUUCCAGAGGACUCUUAAGCUGUAGAACAUUUUAACGCGGUGCCACAACACAGAGUGCUGCCUUGUAGACGGAGCUUGCAGAUGC